AGAACGAACGCUGGCGGCAGGCCUAACACAUGCAAGUCGAACGCUGUAGCAAUACAGAGUGGCAGACGGGUGAGUAACACGUGGGAACAUACCCUUCGGUUCGGAAUAACUCAGGGAAACUUGAGCUAAUACCGGAUACGUCCGCGAGGAGAAAGAUUCAUCGCCGAAGGAUUGGCCCGCGUCUGAUUAGCUAGUUGGUGAGGUAAUGGCUCACCAAGGCGACGAUCAGUAGCUGGUCUGAGAGGAUGAUCAGCCACAUUGGGACUGAGACACGGCCCAAACUCCUACGGGAGGCAGCAGUGGGGAAUAUUGGACAAUGGGCGAAAGCCUGAUCCAGCCAUGCCGCGUGAGUGAUGAAGGCCCUAGGGUUGUAAAGCUCUUUUACCUGGGAAGAUAAUGACGGUACCAGGAGAAUAAGCCCCGGCUAACUUCGUGCCAGCAGCCGC
rnacentral:rRNA from 1 species